UACAGAGGUCCCGAGCGUUGUUCGGAUUUACUGGGCGUAAAGGCGCGUAGGCGGCCAGCACAAGUCAGUUGUGAAAUCUCCGAGCUUAACUCGGAAAGUCAACUGAUACUGUGCGGCUAGAGUGCGGAAGGGCACUGGAAUUCUUGGUGUAGCGGUGAAAUGCGUAGAUAUCAAGAGGAACACCUGCGGCGAAGGCGGGUUGCUGGGCCGACACUGACGCUGAGGCGACGA
rnacentral:rRNA from 1 species